UUUCCGUAGGUGAACCUGCGGAAGGAUCAUUAUCAAAACAGCGGACUUCGGUCCUUGCUGCACCCUUGUCUUUUGCGCACCCAGUGUUUCCUCGGCGUGGCUUGCCCGCCGGCUGGAUAACCAUUAUAACCUUUAUGUAAUCUUCAAUCAGCGUCUGAAAACAAUAUAAUAAUUACAACUUUCAACAACGGAUCUCUUGGUUCUGGCAUCGAUGAAGAACGCAGC
rnacentral:misc_RNA from 1 species